GAGACACGUGAAACCUUGUGGGAAGCAGGGAGGACCACCUCCCAAGGCUAAAUACUACCUGAUGACCGAUAGUGAAGCAGUACCGUGAGGGAAAGGUGAAAAGAACCCCGGGAGGGGAGUGAAAUAGAACCUGAAACCGUGUGCCUACAACCGCUCAGAGCCCCUUAUGAGGGUGAUGAGGUGCUUUUUGUAGAACGAGCCAACGAGUUACGGUAUGUAGCAAGGUUAAGUACUUAAGGUACGGAGCCGAAGGGAAACCGAGUCUGAAUAGGGCGACUAGUUGCAUGCCGUAGACCCGAAACCGGGUGACCUAUCCAUGGCCAGGUUGAAGCGAGGGUAAAACCUCGUGGAGGACCGAACCACGUUGCUGUUGAAAAAGCAUGGGAUGAGCUGUGGAUAGCGGAGAAAUUCCAAUCGAACCCGGAGAUAGCUGGUUCUCUCCGAAAUAGCUUUAGGGCUAGCGUCGAGUAUGAGUAGUGGAGGUAGAGCACUGAAUGGGCUAGGGGGCAUAGCGCUUACCGAACCUUAUCAAACUCCGAAUGCCACAUACUUUGAGCUCGGCAGUCAGACUACGAAUGAUAAGAUCCGUGGUCAAAAGGGAAACAGCCCAGAUCGUCAGCUAAGGUCCCAAAGUGUAAGUUAAGUGGGAAAGGAUGUGAGAUUUCUAAGACAACUAGGAUGUUGGCUUAGAAGCAGCCAUUCAUUAAAAGAGUGCGUAAUAGCUCACUAGUCGAGAGAUCUUGCGCCGAAAAUGUAACGGGGCUAAACUUACC
rnacentral:rRNA from 1 species